CGAGAGUUUUUCAAUCUUUUAAAUUGAAUCGCAUUUAAGUUGAGUUAAAUCGUAAUCACCAGACUAGCCUGGAUAUUCUUCUCUACGAGUAAGUUCCUCUUGUAUAAUCAUUCAAUUGCAUUGUAUUCAUGCGUUGGUUUUCUUAGGAAUCUGCGAUUCAUCAGCUUAAAAAGGCAACGCAUUUGCGUUAGAGUUUCCGGACAAAAAUUAGGCGAUCCGAUUUGUCGCAAGUAUUAGCCUCUGUAAUCCGACGUAGCACUCGCUAGAUACAGGCAAUAGCUAAGGGGAACUAUUUUUGAGUCCUGUCGAGGACAGUUUCCCGUCAAUAAACGGAAUUAAUUCUGUCGGAGACAGACUACAAAAAUCACCAAACAGUGGUAAAAAAAUAGAUCGGACAUGAUGAUGAAAUAAAAGAGAG